ensembl:lincRNA
CUGGAGUGUCCCACAGAGUAAGCUGGGCUGGAGAACAUCAGGGACCAGAAACCAGCAUGCUCUAAGGAGCACAGGAAGUAUCCUGUCCUUGGCUUCUCUCUGCAAGUGUGUUUUUUCCUGCUGAAGACUGUUUUUCUCUGUUUCUUAGCCCAUGUGAACAGAAGAUGCCCAUUGCCAAGAACUCCUGAGUUCACGAUCUCUUUUCAAGACAGCUGUCGAACUGAGGCUUGGGUGCUCACCAUCUUCUGGUCUGGAAGGCCCAGCUCUGCUCACAGGUCUUCUCCCAUCAUUCCCUUUGACCAAAGACUUUGUCAGCCAGCAAGAACGAUGCCAGGAGGUCUGGAGAAGGCGUGUCAUCAGUGCAUUUCUAAAAUCGCCAGCAAUGCCUGCUUUGUUUGCGCGCUCUUCGCCUUCCUGGCCCUGCCGCUGGCCAUGGCCUUCACAGGAAUGAAGUUUUUGGAGGACUGCCCUAUACAGCCCCUCAUUCCUCUGUAUUUGCUAGUGGGCGGGAUCGUCGGAACCUUAAAGGUGUCUCUCCUUCUGUACGACUCCACCAGGAUGAGGCGGCUUCUGUCCAAGGCCGUGGUGAUCGACGACGAUGAUGAUGAUGAUGAGUACCCCUGGAGGCGGAAUGUGCACAAGUACUACAUCCACCUCAUCCUCAGUCUCUUCCUCUUCCUCUGGUUCAUCCUGGGCAAUUACUGGGUCUUUUCUGUGUACCUGCCCGAUUUCAUUCCCCCUUUCCAGCAGCCUCAGGGCUACUGUGACAAAAUCCUGUACCUCUUUGCGGUGGGGGUCCUGGCGCUCAGUCACACCGUGCUGGCCUUGCUCGUCCUGGGCAGCGCUUGUGUCUACGUGUGUUCCAGGGGGAGAUUCGCUGCCGAUGAAGACUGACAGCCACCCCCUCCAGCACACACGCUCGCGCAGUUUCCGGACAACGGCACACUGGAGGGGUAAUAAAACCCUCCCUCCGGGCAUUCAAGAACCCACCGAUGGACAUGCACUGACUAGUGGAGCAGGGGAAGGAAACGCUUGCCUUCCUGGCACUCGGGGAAAGCGCUUUUGCUGGUUCAGAAUGGAACUUUGUACUCAUAGGAGUCUUCCAAGGGUUUCUUUUUUUGUUUUGUUUUGGAGGGGGAUAAAGUGAAGGAGGCAAAGAAUAGGAGACCCUUGCAUGGUGCGAGUCCCCUGAAUGGUACAGGAGCAAGGCUGGUUGUAGUUCCCGCUGCUACUGCUGUUGUCGUUCAACCACAAGCACCGUGAUGUCACAGAAAGAAUGCAGACUUUCAAACGAGACAUAGCCCAGCUUCGCUUGCUGUGAUGGCUUUUGGUAUUAGAAGGAGAAAGGUGCUGUUUUAAUGACUCCAGCUGCCUUUUGGGAAAGUGAAGAGCAAUUUCUCCCAACCCCGAAUCAGAUGGGCUUGAUCUGAUGGGUGGGGACAUCGCAGGGACAGCUGUAAAAUCUGCCGAGGUCAGGGAAGCAGCUGCCACCUCGGGGUCUGGGCUGGCCCGCUAGCCCCGCAUUUGCUAGCAUUCUCCACGGGCUGCUACUGCAAACUCUUUGCUUGGCCUUGACUCUGUUUCUUUCUCUGGCUAGCUGACUGCAUCUUUGUGAUUUGUGGCUGGCUAUGUGGCAUGAGCCAGUUUUGUAGGUUUCUGGCCACACUGCAUGGGUUGAGGUGCCAUCAGUGUAGGGUUUUUUUGGUUUCUGAGCUUAAAUAUCAUAUGGUAGCUCCUCUUAGUGUCAGGUUAGGCUUGGGAGCCUUUUGGAAAUCAAGAUGCCUGGAAGUCUAGGAUGACACCAAAGAGCGGCCACGAACCUGCACUCUUGCUGCUGCUGCUGAGAGCUGAAGUUCGUGGGAGCUGUGGAGCUGGGUCAUUGUGUUGGUAUUGGCAAGUGGGGGACCCUUUUCCCAAGGGACAUCCUCAGGCUUUAGAAUUUUAGAUAAAGACACUGCCGUGUGUCUCUCUAGGAGCAAUGCCAGGGGGAGCAUGGCACCUGCUUAAUUGUGCUUCUCUCUCAGCCACAGGCACAGCCUGUCUGUGUAUUUACACGGUGCUGAGCUCCCUCCCCCCCCCUUUUUUUUGCUUUAUAAUAAAACCAAUGCCUGAGUGGCCAUCAAUGUGAGGCACCUCCCUUUAUCAGAAGCAUCAGCUCAAACUGGGAGGCUCACUCCUCUCUGUGGCUUUCAGAGAAAAGGACCCCUGAGCCCCGUGGAGACGUGCCACUUGAGUUUGCAAGCACUCCCCAGGCGUCUGUCACCUGGAGUCACGUUUGUCCUCCCAGGUGAGAAGAAGGUGUUUGGUGCGCCCUCUGCUGGGCAAAAGAGGAACAGCCCUUUUCCUGCCCCGGUCCCUCUGGGCAGUUCCUGUUUUCAUUUUCACUUGAGCCGUGGAAGAAAACCCCUGGUGUGUGGUUUGUGGAUCCUGCCUCACUUGUGAUGCCCAAUUCCCCCAUCGUGCCCCAUGUUGCCCUCUCUGUGCUGGGGCUGGGGAGAGGCUGCGGGCUGGGUGUGUGUGCCAGGGGCUCCCCUCCCAGCCUCCUUUCCCCAGGUGAUGACUUGUCAGCCACCCCCAGUCAUGUAGCCAAUGUUCGAACAUAUGUGAGCAGCAACGACCUGAGCCCAAGGACCCCUGCACAUCUCCCGCAUGGGAGCGUCUGAGGCUCCUGUCGCUGAGGCCUUGGCAAAGGUGGAAAGAGCCAGUGAAAAACCAUGAGUGUAAAAAUGUCUGUUAGCAGAUGGCAGAUAUUGGUUAGUGCUUUGGCUACAUCAGUAGCUAUGUCUCAGAUGUUAGAGAGUCCCAGUUUCUGGUAGGCGUGGAUAUCCCUGGAGUGUGGCAGAAAUCUGUAUCUUUGCCAGAGGGGUGGUGGACGAAGUGUCCUCAUUCUCACAGGUAGCCCCCCUCCCCACCCCCUCCUGCAAUGGAGAAUGUCGGUCCUAAAUGAUUGCUACACCUGGACCACGUUUUUGGCUUUGAGUUUCCUUGUCACCCAAGCAGGAAGAAAGAUAUAAUGAUCAGUCGUAGGCUGCACACUUUCCCAGGAGUAAAAAAUUCUCCCUCUCUGGAGAAACACAGGUUAAGUCUGAAAGAUAGUGUUCAUGUGCAUCGAUUCAUAGAGGGGACACAGAGUGAUUCAGUGGGUGACAUCUUUAGCAUAGCAGGCUUCGAAUGAUUGUUUAUUAGGGCCUCCCUCAAUGGAUGGAGAGAUGGCUAUUAGGAGGUAUAGUUCAAGAAAGAAGUUCUGGGGCCAAGGCAAAUGGCCUACAACUGUGUGGUUCUUUGAAGUUCUGCUUAAUCCAGAGAUGACAUCAGACUAUCUAGGAAGGGAUGUACUGCAUGGCCUUUAAGUCAGUGGUCUCCACCUUUUUUGUCACCAGGGACUGGUUUCAUUGGAGACAAUUUUUCCAUGGUCGGGGGUUGGGGGAGUGGGGGUGCAGAGCUCAGGUGGUGAUGCACAGCCUGUUUCCUAACGGGACACGGACCGGUACUGGUCUGAGGCCCUGGGGUCCGGGACCCAAGCUUUAAGUGAUGCCCUGUUAGUAUUAUUUCUCUCAGCUGGGGGGAAAUUUAGGCAGGUGAGUGUAAGCAGCUCCUGGCUGUAAUGGCUGGCACGGCCUGAAGAGGGCGUGCUGCACUGGUGAAACGGGCCGUGCAUAGCUGCAGACUGGACAUGCCCACCCAAGAGUGACCCAGGAGACGGCCAUUCCUCCUCUGUGGGAACGUGGCAGGGCAGUGGCCUUCCAGGGGAAAUGAACAUGAGAACACCUCAACUUUCUGGAUGCUAUAAAAGCUCAAGGGAACAAAUCCAUAUGACCGGAAGAGAUAAUCAAUUGUUCCCAUCCAAAAAAAAGACUGCAGCAAAGAUAAGCUGUAUGUUGAAGUCUUUUGAUUGUAUUUGCUACAUUGGGCAUCAUUCUAGAAGUCAUUCUUUGCCUGAAUCUAUAGAAAUAACAGUUGAAAGUGGUAAAAGUGGAACCAUUUCACUGGUGUCAGUCAUACCAGUGGUUUCAAACCUCAGUGAGGAAUUAGAACUACCCAGGAUUUGUUUCAACUGCAGAAUCACAGCGCCCAGGAGUCCUGCUUCGUGAGGCCUCCCUGGUUCUGAUUCGGUGGGCCAGAGAACCCCACGUGUGCACUCAGGCCAUGAAUAAAACGUGGACUGACCCACGUCAGGCCUAUGGUGGUUGUCGCCAUGAGGACAAUGUGAUGUGAGUUCAGUCCUUCAUGUUAUUUCCAUCUAUUUUAGUAUGAGAAGAGGCAAAGUGAUCAAUAGCUUUCGUUUUUGUAUGACUGGAUCUUGUGUUUCUUUUCUUUGUGGGCGUGCUGCAUUUUUGAUGGAAUAAACUUCGUGCAAUUUGUUCCCCAGUCUCUUCCUUGACUACCCUGGGGGAAGAGAAUCCUUGAGAUGCUUUGUUUUUUCUUCCAGUGGGUUCCUGAGGGCACACACUCUGUACACAGAAGCUGUCAACCACCAGUGGCCUGCUCUGGGCAAAUUUUGGUCCAUAAAACUCCUAAUCCUCAGGUGGGCAGAUGAGUCUGUAGUG